rnacentral:misc_RNA from 1 species
ACAGACAGACACAUAGACGUGUGUGUGUGUGUGUGCUCACUGAGCACAGCCGUACGCACGAGACAGCCGUGGCUUUCUCAUCGGUUCUUUUUGUUUCCUGCUUUGCUUGCCCCCCCCUUCCACUCUUAUCUCUCCCUCCCACCAAGCACACCGCGUGUGCACGUGCCCGAACACGAUGGGCAAAGAAAAGAGGACCGUCGCGGCACCCCACAAGGCCGACAGCACGGCGAGCCCCACCGCGCCGGAAAUAGUGAAGUACAUGACGCCGUUUAGCUUUUCGGGCGAGACGCUGGAGGCGGCGGGUCGCGUCUACCGCCUCCCGAGCAGGGCCGACUUCUACACCUUUCGCGCUUUCGCCGACUCGCUGGACGGCUUCACCCUGAGCUACAACCGCGCCAAUGAGGUGAUGGUGUGGGAAAAGAAGUUGCCCAACGAGCCAAUGCACGUCAUCAAGGUGUUUGGCAUCUUUGCCAAGACCAAGGACAACCCCAGCGGUGGCGCGACCCCGAGGGAGCUCUACAACCUCUUGCAAGACCCUAUUUUCCGUGAGCAGUGGGACGAGUACCGCCAGGAGGCGUUCCGCGUCUCGAGCCUGAGCGCUAACACGGACAUUGGCUACUACGCGGCUAAGAGCCCGAUGCCACUCGUGGCGAAUCGCGACUUUGUGAACCAGCGCAUGUGGCAUGAGGCGGGCCGAGACGAGUACGUUAUCUUCAAUACAUCGGUGCCGCACUCGACGGUGCCACCAACGUAUCAGAAGGACGCACACCGCAACAAGCACGGGCCGUACGUCCGUGCCAUCUCGAAGCUCACGGGGUAUCUGAUCCGCCCCUGGAAGAACCCAAAGAGUGGCGAAGUCGAGGGCGCGAGUCUCACGUACAUUACGCAGACCGACCCGGGUGGCUGGAUCCCGGUAAGCCUGACAAACUACAUCGCCACCAAGUUCGCCCCGAACACGAUGAAGAACGUAGCGCAGGCGCUGCCAAAGUUCCGCCUGUGGCUCAAGGAGCAGCUGGAGGCAGGCACGUACACAAAGGACUGGGAUCUGACCCCCGAGUGGUGGGUCGAGGAUGGCAGCGACGACGCCGUCAAGAAUGAGACGGUUGAGUUUGCCAUUAAAAAGUGGAGUGAGGAGUCCGCCAUGAAGUAGUUGGGCGCGGUGCACUUGGGAUCAUCAACUUCGCACCGAUGUGUGUGUGUGUGUGUGUCUGUGUAUGCUCUGUCAGCAUUACGAGGGUGACAGAGAGAGAGGAAGCCGAGAGGGGGGGCGGGGCGCUGUGUCGUCGCCAAGGAUACCGUUGCUACUUGCCGUGUGUGUAGCCCUGCUUGGCCACCCAUUGCUUCCCCCCUCCUCCUCCCAUUCAAUAUGAUGCUGCAUCGUUGUCUCCAACUUGCUCUCUUCUUAUCACGGGCGCACUCAUCAUACUGGUGCUUUUCUCUAUUGGCGACUACGACGCGAGAUAUCGUGCGCCUUUACAUGGAUCGGGUGUCUUUUGUAGGUGUGUUCAUCUUGCACGCGUGACCCUCUGACCUCUCCCACCAUUCACACCCACACACUCGCACCCACUCUGACCUCCCCACUCCCCUCCUCUCAUCCAUAUCGUUUCUUUUUUUUCCCCAUCAUGGAGGAGGUGGGCAGGGGCCAUGGACAUGCGUGUGCAUUCUGUGGCGAUAAUGAUAGGAAGAGCAGCAGCAACUGGUGCACACAUGUCGAGGAGGAGGUGGUGGUGAGUAGUGGUGGGCGGUCAGGGACGAGGGAGCACAGGGGCGCAAACCUCACGUUCCCUUCGUUUUGGUCUCUCUUGUUUUCGGUUCAGAUGAAUGCACGCACUCACAAACACGCGUACCCGGACACGCUUUCUCGAAGUUGGUGAAGCUGCCUUUCGUUAUCUUCCCCUUGCUCAGCGUGCUCUGUGCAAAAGUCAGUUGCAUCCUCCCUCUCCCCGCGAUUUCGGCGUUGCUGCCUCCAGUGCCCCUCCGCG